rnacentral:rRNA from 1 species
GACGACGCUGGCGGCGUGGAUUAGGCAUGCAAGUCGAACGGUAUCAUCCUUUCGGGGGUGAGAGAGUGGCGAACUGGUGAGUAACACGUAGGUUAUCUACCCUCAAGACGGGGACAACCCAGGGAAACUUGGGCCAAUACCGGAUGUGAGCAACUUUUAGUUGUUUGAAAGGUGGCGUAAGCUGUCGCUUGGGGAUGAGCCUGCGUCCUAUUAGUUAGUUGGUGAGGUAACGGCUCACCUAGGCAAUGAUAGGUAGGCGGCCUUAACGGGUGGUCGCCCACACUGGGAUUGAGAUACGGCCCAGACUCCUACGGGAGGCAGCAGUCGAGAAUAGUCUACAAUGGUCGGAAGACUGAUAGUGCGACGCCGCGUGAACGAUGAAUCCCUUCGGGGUGUAAAGUUCUUUUAUAUGUGAGCAGUGCUUCUUAUAUUAACAGUAUGGGGAGAGAGAUAUUAGCAUAUGAAUAAGCAACGGCUAACUCCGUG